rnacentral:rRNA from 1 species
GACGAACGCUGGCGGCGUGCUUAACACAUGCAAGUCGAACGGAAAGGCCUGCUUUCCCUUGUGGAUUGCGGGUACUCGAGUGGCGAACGGGUGAGUAACACGCCAGUGAUCUGCCCCCAACUUGGGUAUAAGCCUGGGAAACUGGGUCUAAUUCCCGAUAGGACUGCAGGGUGGUGCCUGUGGUGGAAAACGAUUUUCUAGUGGUUGGGGAUGAGCUCGCGGCCUAUCAGCUUGUUGGUGGGGUAAUGGCCUACCAAGGCGGCGACGGGUAGCCGGCCUGAGAGGGUGGACGGCGACAUUGGGACUGGGAUACGGCCCAGACUGCUACGGGAGGCAGGAGUGGGGAAUAUUGCACAAUGGGCGGAAGCCUGAUGCAGCGACGCCGCGUGGGGGAUGACGGCCUUCGGGUUGUAAACUCCUUUCGACCGCGAGGAAGCCACCUGGUUGGAAGGGUGGUGACGGUAGUGGUAGAAGAAGCACCGGCUAACUACGUG